rnacentral:rRNA from 1 species
UACAGAGGGUGCGAGCGUUAAUCGGAAUUACUGGGCGUAAAGCGUGCGUAGACGGUAGCGUAAGUCAGAUGUGAAAGCCCCGGGCUCAACCUGGGAAUUGCAUUUGAGACUGCUCUGCUCGGGUGCGGAAGAGGGAAGCGGAAUUUCCGGUGUAGCGGUGAAAUGCGUAGAUAUCGGAAGGAACACCAGUGGCGAAAGCGGCUUCCUG